ACGUCAUUCGUUUUUAUCAGGAAUCCAUCAGAUUUUGAUAAAAGUUAAUGAAUUGUAAAAGUCUUAACUAACGUAUUGUUUCGCAGUGCUGGACACCGAAGCGAUGCGUUUUUUU
rfam:Carnobacterium inhibens subsp. gilichinskyi strain WN1359, complete genome.